AUUGAACUCUGGCGGCAGGCCUAACACAUGCAAGUCGCACGAGUGGCGGACGGGUGAGUAAUGUCUGGGAAACUGCCUGAUGGAGGGGGAUAACUACUGGAAACGGUAGCUAAUACCGCAUACCAUCAGAUGUUCCCAGAUGGGAUUAGCUGGUAGGUUGGGUAACGGCUCCCCUAGGCGACGAUCCCUAGCUGGUCUGAGAGGAUGACCAGCCACACUGGAACGGGUAAACGGUCCAGACUCCUACGGUAGGCAGCAGUGGGGAAUAUUGCACAAUGGGCGGAAGCCUGAUGCAGCCAUGCCGCGUGUAUGAAGAAGGCCUUCGGUUUGUAAAGCACUUUCAGCGGGGAGGCGUUACCCGCAGAAGAAGCACCGGCUAACUCCGUGCCAGCAGCCGCGGUAAUUC
rnacentral:rRNA from 1 species